rnacentral:lncRNA from 1 species
GUCUGCACUUUUCUUCUUUUUUUAUUUUUCUUAUGAUCGUGGGUGUUUGGGCCAACUUACGUGCAUCUCGACUAAUCUCACGGGACUCUGAAAUUUACAGUUGGGUACUUACCUCAGUGACCUUGAGAGAACUCGAACUGGUGACCAUUGGGGAAUAAAUCCAAGAUCUGACCAUUGAGCUACCCCUCGGGGUUCACGUUUCUUCUUUUGAUGUCAUACUUAAAAUUUCACUUCUUGAACCAUGCUAUUAUUCUUUUUUCUCUUUCCAUUUUUCCUUUUUGUAUAUAAUGCUUCUCGGUAUUUGCUGCGAACAAUUAAAUUGGCUUUGUUAGUCACAGAUGCAAUUUGAAAUAGCACCUUUAGAUGUACUUUUGGUUAAUUGAUAUCCUGUCUGCACUUUUCUUCUUUUUUUAUUUUUCUUAUGAUCGUGGGUGUUUGGGCCAACUUACGUGUAUCUCGACUAAUCUCACGGGACUCUGAAAUUUACAGUUGGGUACUUACCUCAGUGACCUUGAGAGAACUCGAACUGGUGACCAUUGGGGAAUAAACCUAAGAUCUGACCAUUGAGCUACCCCUCGGGGUUCACGUUUCUUCUUUUGAUGUCAUACUUAAAAUUUCACUUCUUGAACCAUGCUAUGUUUUGUUAAAACUUGCAGUCAUAAAUUAAUAGUAAUCAUAUUUAUCUACUUUUGUGAUUGUUGCAGCUG